rnacentral:lncRNA from 1 species
CAAUUUCCACCUGUGUCUGUCCCUAAAGUACAAAAAUCACAAACCAGAAGCCUAAGAAACUGACUGUGCAAAUAAAAGUAAAUAUGGUCAUACUGGACCAGAUGUAAGUUACAGCUUUAUUUCAGGGAAAAAAAUGAAAAGAAUAUUCUGUGAAGAAUAAGUUAAAAGUGAGAGAAAAAAAUUAAAAGAGAUAAGAUAAAUAAAAAUGUGGAAUGGAUUGCUCUGAAAAAAUGCCUCUUCAAUUAUCUAGAAAAGAUUUUUACAGAUCCUUCAUUACUAAAUAAACUCAUUUUGUGUAUAUUAUUCAAAAUGUUUGGCUACAAUAGCAAUAGCUAAGACCUAUGAAAAGUUUUCUGUGUUCCAGACAAUAUUUUAAGGGCUUAUUUGUAUUAAUUGGUUUAACUUUCACAGGCCACGGGAGGGUUCCACAUUCUGAGGAGAGAGGUGUCACAAAGUCUUUCAUGUUUAUAAUUCCAUGGGUGGAAAUGAACAUUUUAUUCCUUUACUGAAAUGAUUUUGAAUUAAAGUCAAAAUAUUCAUGGGAAAUGGCAUUAUCAAGUCCUGACUUUACAUUUCAAUGUAAAGGAAUUCAUCUGUCCUUCCUAAGAGUCUAUUUUGAUGAAGAAAAUAUGAGAAAACUAGAAAACAUUUACUCUGGUGGAAGAAACAGGAGGAGGAAGAAAAAGGAAAAGUACCACAAAGUGUCACAGUUCACUGAGGCAACCCAGAUAUGAGGAAGAGGAAAAUGUGGACACAAAUACAGACACAGGGAAGAUGAUGUGAAGUCACAGAAAGAUGAGAAGAUAGACAUCUACAAACCAGAGAGCUGGGACAAGAUCCUUCAUGGGCUCUGCCAAUACCUUGAUCUUGAACUUCCAGCCUCCAGAACUGUGAGACAAUAAAUUUAUUUUGUUUGAACCACCUAGUAUGUGGUACCUUCUUCAGGCAGUCCUAGCAAACCAAUACAAGGACUGAGCCACAUCUUCAUUCAAAUGGCAAUUUUUUAACAGCUAUGAUUAAUGCCUGGAACUUGUGGGGAGAUAGCAUCCACAUGAAAGACUAAAAGAGAUACAGGAAAAUUAUAGACUAGAUGUAGACAUGAAACAACAGCAGCAACAAAACAUUUAGUGACAGGACCACAGGUUAUGGAUUUUCUCUGAGCAUGCAGAUGUAGUCUUUCUGAAAACUUCUGGGGACUUUUGCCAUCUUCAUAUUGGAAAACAAAGUUGGCCAGGUGCAGUGGCUCAUGCUUGUAAUCCCAGCACUUUGAGAGGCUGAAGUGGGUGGAUCACCUGAAGUCAGGAAUUUGAGACCAGCCUGGCCAACGUGAUGAACCCUCAUCUCUGCUAAAAAUACAAAAAUUAGCUGGGUGUGGGGGCAAGCACCUGUAGUUCCAGCUACUCCAGAGGCUGAGGCAGGAGAAUAGCUUGAACCUGGGAGUCGCAGUAAGUCGAG